GUGAGUAAGGCAAAUGGGAGUGAGGGCUCCCACUGUAUAAAUAGCACCUUCCGCAGGCUUGGAAGCAGCUCAGGCUGGAGGGCAACAACACAAGGGCUCUAUCAGGGAUCCCUGCCGAGUUCAGGAAGUUGUGCUGCUUAUUCCUAAAAUGAUUAGAAAGAAAAACCUCGGUGUAAAGAUUCUUAUGGCACAGAAAGGGCAGAGAGGCCUUAGUGCGGAGUCACAUGCCAUUCCCAUUCACAGCUAAAGCCCCGCUGCCCCAGGCAAACACAGAGCCUGUCAGCGUCCUGCAGCUCACCUUGCAGAGAUGGGACCAAAAUAGCUUCACAACUUCACAACGCCACUAAAAAUAGCUUGCAGCUGUUCUGCAUUUAUGAUCUGAUCUGCACGCUGAGUCAACGUCGCUGUAACGACAUGGAUGGAGGGCAGAGGUCCGCAGGUUUGCUUUGAGGAAGCCCCAUAAACAGGGUAAUAGCACCAGAGUUACUGUUCUCUUGAACUAAAGGGAGAGAAAGUAAGCUGCCAAUCAAAAAGAACAUCUCGUGGCACAGGCAGAUGUUUCUGAUGGCGAUGCCGGAGCCAGCAGAACCCCUGCAGCAGUGCAGCCCCAUGGUGCUGGAGGCCCUUCCAGACUGGAGGUGUGGCGGUGGUCUGCAUGUCAGCAGAGCAGUCCCAGCAGCGUUCAGCAUGGAUGAGGUAUUGAACGCAUCCCCGUGCCUCUGGGGGGCAACGUGGCUUCUGCUGACGUGUGAACACUCUGCUUGGCAGCCUGGUGCAGCACAUCACAGCUCAGAUGGGUUCUCCCAGGCGGCUGUGCAGCACAGAGCUAAUACAUGGAAUACAGGUGCUCGUGGACUCGUUCUGCACCGACCUGCCAGUCUGCAGGCCCCAAAAAUACAGGCACGGCCCAAAGGUUUCUAUUCAGGGCUCAGCAGUGGAAUAAGGAACAUGAGCCGUGGGAUAUCCCGUGUCACCGCAGGCUGCUCAGCCUGGAAGGGGCUGGUGGCAAAGGGAGGAAACGUCAGAAACGCCAUGGACUAUUUUAGAUCUGCAACCUCAGUUCUGCAAAGGACAGCCUGCUGAUGUGCCACGCUCAGCGAGCAGCGGGGAGGAACCCCACGGCAGGAAGAGAGGUUUGCAAGUUUCCCUUUCCCAUAGAGCACAUCCCAAACUGCUGCACGACAGCAUGCUGUGCAGUGCUGUGCUGCGUGGUGUCCUGUCAGCCUGCUGGGAGGACACGGAGUGCUCCAGCAGUGGGCAAUGUGGGAGCAGGCUGUGAGCUGCACAGCCCAGCAUACAGCACGGUGUGAGGCUGGAACUCCCAGUGCCCUCAGCACGUCUCCGUGCUGCGUCCCUGGCUGUGCAGCUCGGCCUGGAGGGCCCGGGGCUGUGAGCUCAUGGGUUUCUAUUUAUGCUUUCAUCUGGUUUUGCCUGCUUUGGACGGUUAACGUAACGCACACGCAGGGUGGUGCUUCAAGGAGACAAACAGUUGCUUCAUCUCCCUGUACAGACAGCCCUCUGCCCUUUGCGUUUCGAUUCCCGGUGUCUGUGUGUGUGGAGGUGAUUUGUCCAUAAUUGUUUGCUUUCUCCGGAGUCCUUUGAAGCGUCUGUCUCCCAACCGGUCCCCUCUUAAGAAUAAAUGCUUCCAAG
ensembl:lncRNA